AUAACAAUGAACCAAAUAGAUACUAAAACCCGCCAACCAACCAAUGUCUUCAGGUUACUGAGUAAGAAAUAAGUCUAGGGUGGCUGUGCAGAGCGCUAAACAUUCGGGACAACAACAUUUGCGAUUCAUUUGUUCACAUUUCCGGGAAAUCAUCUACGUAGAGGCACUCCUGCCUCGCCCCCAUAUGCCUGGUCAAAUCUGCCCGCUCGCGUGCUUCAAGGAAGGUAACCAAUCACAUCGUUCUUUGAAUUUAAAUGAGACUAAUGUUAUUUGCCUCAUAUUGGUCAAGCUAAUAUUGUUUCUGUAGUCAUAGCUUUAGAUCAUUGUGAUGGGUGUCUCUGUAAGGACUGUGUCUGUGCGACACAGUCCCACAGACACAUCUCAUGGGCUCGGCCUCU
ensembl:lncRNA